rnacentral:lncRNA from 1 species
UGAUAUGAAAAUAAAAAUUAUGCUGAUACAACUGAAAAUUCUUGUUCCUUUACUCCGGAAGAAUGUUCUUUACGGAGGAACUUUCUAAGAUCACUUGUAAUGUUUAACAUAUAUUAUCAAAAAAUAAAUAAAAAAUAUUUCAAUUGCCUUAUUUUAUUUUAUUACCAAUAUUUUAAAGUACAAAGUCUUACAUGUAUGGUCUGUGAAAUUUUGUAAGGAAAAAUAAAAAGUACAUUUAUUAUGGUUAGUACAACAAUUCAUUGGCAACUAAGGAAUAUUUUAUUAUAAAGUUGUGUAAGAACUCAUUUUUUCAUGUAUUGAUCCUGACUUCUUUCUUUCUUAGAAAUUGACAUAGAUUGUCAAUGCACUUCACGCCGUGAGAUUUAUUAAUACUAGGAAACACUUUUUGACAAUAUUCAUCUGUUUCACAUUUAACUCUUACUGUAAUAAAAGAACAAAAUAGAGAAUAAUAUUAAUAGAAAAAAAAUAAAAAAUUGAGUUCAAAGUAAAAAAGGUAAAGAUCAAAAUUUGAAAAGGUUAGAAAAAUAUCUUACGGCAAAUGUUUCUUUCAAUAAAAAAUACAGCAAUGAAUAAAAUCAUAAAAUGAACAAUAUUGAGAAAUUUAGUCUCAUCUUUCUCUUUUUGCAUGUUAUAGAUAUAAUAUGAUUGAUCAAUUUAUAGUGUAUAAACUUAUCCUAAGUUAAAAUAAAUUAAUUAUUUUUAGCCCUUGAGAAGUAUGGAAAAACAUCUUUAAAUUGCUAAUGUGUAUAUUUUUAUUAGAUUAAUAUGUUAUGAUUGUCCUUUGACACAUUAAAGAGUAACAUGCAAAACUUUCUUAUCAUUAGAAUUCACUCUUCUUAAAUUAAUAGAUAAAUAAUAUUUUAUUUAUUUCUAAAAUAGUUACAAACGCAUAGUUUACCGAUAGUUAAACUUAUUGUAAGUUUCUUUAUAGAUAAAAUCAUUUGAUUUUAGGAAAUGAAUAUUAAAUUUUGCAGUUAUUUGAUUUUAGGGUUGGGGAAUUCGAAUCAUUCCCAACUCGGUUCAAUUCGAUAAGAAUUAGUCCAACUCAAAAUUUGACUCGAGUUCAAUCCGAUUUUUUUAAAGGUUAAGUUCAACUUAUUUUAAGUUCACAAAAAUAAUUUAUUUCAAUUCGAUAGAUUCAUCUUGUUAGGUUCAAUUGUAUGCUCUAUAGGUUAAAAAGCCAUAUUUUUAAAUAUUAAUAUAUAUUUUUUUUAUAUUUGACAUUUUAAAUUAAUAAUUUUUUUAAAAGGAAAAUAUUUAAAUAAAAUGAUAAUUAUAAGAUUGAAAUUUAACUUUUUCUCAAAAAAAUUUAAUGUUUUAUUUAUUAGAAGAACUUUAUUAAACAAAGGAGUUUAAUUUUUAAUCACCCUAUACAAUUUUUUUUAUAUGAUGAUGAAUUUAUUUGUGUAAUUAUUUUUAAAUAUAUUUUGUUAACUUGGGAAUAUAAAUUAUCAAUUAAAACCGUCAAAUUAAAAGAAAAAUUAGAAGAUUUAUAGUAAGUUUUUAAACAUAUUCUUAGAGCCAAUAUAAUUCAUCUCAUAUAUAAUCGAGUUGAUUCAUGAACCUAAUGAGUUGAGCUAUACAUAGUUCAAAUCUACCUCAUUUAAUUAACAAACUUAAUUUUUUGUUCAUAUUCAGCUCAUUUAGUUCAUGAACCUAGUUCAAUGAUUUAGUUUUCGAAUUGAGUUUUGAAUUAUGUUUGAAUUUGUCUGGUGCAUGCAUAGCUCUAUUUGAUUUCAUAACAUUAUCAUUCACAUAAAUCCUGUAACAUUCCAUAUAAUAUAUAUCUAGAGUAAUAUCAUACAAGUUUUAUUAUUUUUUUGGUAUUGUCACAACAUAAGUGUCUAACAACAUCUUUAUAUACUUGCCCAUAAAAUAAAAUACAACAUAUCGAAUAUGUCAUGCGAUAGUGCCUAAAUAAAGAUCUAAGAACUAUGUACAAUAUCUACAAUUGUACAAAUCUACUGUAGAAGAUCAUAAUAAAAUCUUUCCUUGAAACAUCAAUGCACAACUCCUCUUGUACAAUAUAUCCUAUAAACAAUACUUGGAAAAAAACCAAUAAUAUUGGGGUGAGAUAAUAAUCUCAGUGAGUUAUCCUAUCUUAUGGGUUCACUCGGCUCUAUAGAGUUUUCUAAUCGAUUUCCUAACUCAAGUCACAAAGGGGGAAAACUGGAGUUCCCAAAACUCGCAAUGUAUAGAAAUACGCCUCUUGAGUUCAUCGACUCAAACAAUCAAUAAUCGGAAACCAUUACAAGGUAUGUUCCCCCAUCCAACCCUACGUCUAGGAUUAUCGACAUGGGUCACGAAUCCUUGUAUAUACUUUGAAAUAUGCACAGACUUCCGAUUCUAAGUGAUCACAUCCACUUCAAGAAUCGCCGCUUCCUAUGGGACUCAAAACUCAUUUCAAGACUUUUACUCGUAUGGGACUCACCCCACUUUGGGAUCUACCGUCUUUGGAACUCACGCCCAGGUCAUAAGUAUUGGUGCGUACGUCCCAAUUCUUACUCUAUAUGAGCAUCACAACUUGGGACAACACAAUUAACGAGUUAUUUUUGACUACGUGACAAGAUAGAAAUACAACGUAAUUGUAUUCAAAAAUCACAAGGUAGUCACGUUCAUCUUCAUCAAACAACAAUACAACAUGUUCCAUACAAUGCAUCCCACUCUCAACUAUGGCAACCAUCCAUCCAUGACACUCAACCAGGUAUCAUAUAGAAUAAACGUCCCCAUCUAACAUUAUUUAAGCCAUAUGUCUAACUUCUUACCCUAAUUAGAACUCUAAGUUAACUCACAUUGUUCAUCACGUUUCUCUCUCAUCUAUUGUUAAUUUAACACAUACAUAUCAGAACAUAUGUCAUAAGGCACACAUAUGGAAAAGAUAGCAUAUUCCAUUUAUCCCAAACAAAACGUAAUAAAUUAUCAUGAUCAUAUAAAGCUUUAAACAAGCUUUCUAAUGCAUUUGACCGCACAUCGAACGGAUUUAUGAAACUCAAGUUAUGCCACAAACAAUACAGAGGGAAAACACAAAAACCAGUUAACCGCGCUAAGCGCCACCUGAGCCUGCUAUUGUGAUUUGAGAAUGUUAUGUGGAGAAUUGUGGCAUCCUUUUUGAGUAUUUUAUUAUGCAUGUUUUAUAAAUUAAGUGUUUGGGGUUUAUGGUUAUACAACCAGACCCCAACCAUAUACAACUGAUCAAAGUAUUUCAUUUCCCUUAAGCGGUGAGCGAUCGUCCUCUUGAUUUCCGCUACGUCGUUGGCUCCUUUUCUUCGAACAAUAAUUGAAUUUGUUUCUUAGCCUAGCAAUCGAAAUCUUUCAAAUAUAUAUUCAAAUAAACAAAAAAGUAUUUAGACAAAUAAAUCAAACAAUGCAAGCACAAAUAAACCUUCGACAUCAUAUAUAAGACCUAUAGCAACUUAUUAAGCUCAUGAUAACGGUCCUAAAGUAUCUUAAAUUAUUUUAUGCUAACCGUCCCAACGUAUAUAGAUAUUUCCCCCAUAUUUUGUUGUUAAGCAUUGUUGAAAGUCCACGACUGCUUCCUCCGAUCUUUGACAAGAACUUAAUUUCAGUAACCGUUGAAUUGUACAAAAUUUAUAAAAUAAUGAGAAUAUAAUUUACGCAUAAUUAUAUAAAAUUGUUACAACUUGAAAUAUUUACUUUAAAAUAUUUAAUACUAACCUCCACUAUAUUUGAAUAAUUAUUAAACUCAAAUAUAAAUUAGACUAUAGCCUGUUUGGAUUUGUUGAUUUUAGAAAAUUAUCAAGAGUAUAUUCCUAAUAACCUUUUAAUUUUAUAAUAACACUUGAGCAUUAUAAUGACUUAAAAUGGUAAAAUUUAUCUUUUAUUAGGAUAUCAACUUGGACUUUAUAAGUUCAAUACCUCUAUGGUGAAUGGAAACUUAAAUAGAAUAUUUAAAAUAACCUUAUAUGAAUAAAAUAAUUAAAUUAAUAUAAUUAAAAUAAAAUGGACAUUAUAACGAUUUACCAGUUACUUAUGAAAAUAAUUGUGGCAGAAAUUAAGCGUAUAAAAUCAAACUCCUUUGAAAUUUUAGAAGCAUUUUGACCAUAUUAUAACUCUAAAAGCUAUGAACCAAUACUGUGAAAACCUCGAUAACAAAAACUAAUAUCGCUAUAUGAAGAAAAUAGAAAAAGAGAGAAAUAGAAUGGUGAGAGAGAUGAAUUGUGAAUGGAUAUAUAUAUAUAUAUAUAUAUAUAUAUAUAUAUAUAUAUAUAUAUAUAUAUAUAUAUUAAUAUAUAUAUAUAUAUAUAUAUAUUAUAUAUAUAUACUUAAUAUAAUAUAUAUAUAUAUAUAUAUAGUUGAAGUAUAUUGAUAUUUUUGUUAAGGUAGGUUGAUAAAUAUUGUUGUUGAGGUGUCUUAGAUAAACAUUAUGGUUUAUUUAUUGGAUGAUGUGUUUUUAUAUGUAUGCUAUUAUUUAUGUUUUUCUUAAUGUUAUUACUUAUACAUUGCAGUUAUCAUUUUUUUCAACCAAUAUUUUUAGAAGAUGAGUUUAUUAUAUUGUAUAUGAUUUGACUGUUUUACCAACCUACCAUUAAAUAUAUAACCUUUUGAAUUGAAUUAGAAAAUAAUAAUAUGAAAAAUUAAGUUAUAUUAAAAAACAACUUACAUCGAUCAAUAUUUUACGAGCUUUCUUUAGUUUGUUGUCCAUAUAUAUCGCUCUUUGAUGGUUAUAAUUUGGUUUAAUGCUUGUAUUUUUUAAAUCUACACUUUUUUUACUAAUCCAUUCUGAAAAAUUGUUAAUACUUUGCAGAAUAAAUUAAAAGAGAAAGAAGUGUUGGUUGAAGAAUUAUAAGCAUUGAAUCAAAUUUUAACCGUUAAAGAAGGAGAUAUAGAUAAUGGAUUAUAGAAAGAUCGAAAAAUAUUUAUUAAUGUAACUUGUUCUACUAAUAUUACUCAAUUUGUCAUUUUAUUAAUAUCUAAUUAGAGUGAAAUGUUAUAUGUUUAUUGAGAAUUUAAUGAAAUAAGAAUUUCACAUAUUUUACAAUCAGACUUCAAAAAAAACUGUAAAACAAACAAAGAGUAAGCACGGAAUAAAGAAAGUCAGAGUAUAAAGAAAGAAAUACAUCAUAAGUAAAUAAAUGGCUAAAAUGUACACAAAUAAGGAUACAGAAAGAUGCACUAUAGGUUUAUAGAGGUUCGACUUAAUCACUUGACUUACUCAUCUCCUUGAAAAUUUAUUCUUGAGAGUUUAAAACCAGACUUUAGAAAAAGUUUGUAAAACAAACAUGAAAUAAGCAGUGGAAUAUAGAAAAUGGAGUAGAAACAAAGACGUACAUGAAAAGUAAAUUAAUUACUAAAAUAUAAAUAAAUAAGGGUAGAGAAAGAUGCACCAGCAGUUUAUAGAGGUUCGACUUAACCACUUGACCUACUCAUCUCCCCAAAAAAAAAUUCUUGAGAGUUUCCACUAUGUUGUGAGGUUUUUAGAAGUUUUUCCCACGAAUCUCCUUAAAAACAAACUUAAGUUUUAAAAUGGAUAAUCUCUAAACUAAACUGAGAGUUUUUUCCCACAAAAUGUUGUACAAGAUUAAUCCCAAACAAGAUAAGAGAUUUUAUACCAAGCGUAGCUCAGGAACCAAGUGGAGGUUUUAACGAAUAGGCGAAGCUCACGAACUAUGUGGAUAUUUCAACAGACAAUCUCUUGAAUGAAACAAGAUCUUUUACAAUAGGAAAAGUUCAAGAACAAAAAGUGAUAUUUGAACGGACAAUCCCAUAAACCAAACAAGAGCUUUUUAACUUGGUUUUGAUCAUAAUCAAACUAAAAAUAUCACAAGAAAUAUUACAAAAUUACCCUCACACCCGAACCAAAUAACUCACAUGUAAAUUUCACUCUCAAAUCACUACGGUAAAAGUGAGGAAGAACUAAAGAGAGAGAAGAGAGUGAAUAAUGAGAAAGAGUAGUCAAAAUACAUUUUCUUGUAUGUAAGAAAUGAGAAAUAAGCCUUCACAUUUUCUAGUAUGUAAGAAAUGAGAAAUCAACCUUCUAUUUAUAGGACAAAGUGUGAUACAGAAAUGGAAAGAAUCCAUGCACUUUUUAAUAUUCACAACCGAUAAUGCAUAUGACAUAAUCGAUUAUGCAAUUCAAAUAUUUAAUGUUUUUAAAUGACGCUUUCACUUAUCAAUUGUAGCUCUGUCUAAUCGAUUAGGGUUACAUAAGUGAUAAUUGACUAAUCAAGUAUGAUAAUCAAUUAUGUCAUGUAAAAAUUCUCUUAGUUGAUUAGAAUGUGUCUGUAAUUCAUUACCUAGGCACAAAAAGGUUUUCAAGUAGUUUUACUAAAAUUGGAGAGGAUUUUUUAUCAUUCAAAGUGUGUAAACGCACUACUAGGUGUGGCAAAAUGGGUCGGCCUGCUGGGCAUGCCCAUUUUGCCCGAGUUUUGUGCGGGGCGGGCUAAGGAUUUAUGCCCUCACCCUCAAAUGUGUCCGCCCCGCCCCGCCACGCCCCGCUCUGUUUUUUUUCCGGGUUUUACGGGCACGUGUGUUUACAUAAUUUUUUGUAUUUUUAGGCUUAAAGGAGUGCAGUGCUCGCAGACUUUUCCCGCCCCGCCCUCACUUUUUUGCGGCGCGGGUCCACUACGCCAAAAACUGGAAUAGACAGCGCACCUUAGAGGGCGCUUUAUUACAAAAGCGAUCUCUAAAGUGAAGCGAAAAAAUAAGGAGCAAUAGACAGCGCACUUUAGAGGGCGCUUUUGUAAUAAAGCGUCCUCUAAGGUGAAGCGAAAAAAUAAGGAGGAGAUAGAGGGACAACAAUACAUGGCGCUUUUUAGAAAGCGCCCUCUAAGGUUACCCUUAGAGGGCGCUUUUAAUAAGCGCUGUUAUAAGUCCAUGUGCAUUUCCAGCUUAUAAAACGCUUCUGGAAAGCCUUAGAGAGCGCUUCCAUAAGCGCCUCUUAGGCCCCCUUUAGAGGGCGCUUUUUUUCCACAAGCGCCCUCUAAGGUCCCCUUUAGUAAACAUUAAAAUUAAACAUACUGCGAUUUUGUUAUUUCACUCUCUGUUAUUUUCGUUCUUUUUCACGUUAGGGUUCUAAGGGCGUUCUCCUUCCACCUCUGUUAGAUCUACGACGUUUCCUCCUUCUACCAUCAAAGGUACACGAUGCAUACAUUAUUACUUGCACUAUUGCUUUGUUUUAGCUUUGCCCCAUUUCAGUUUUAUGUUAUUGUUGUCUAUGCUACGUUUGUUCGACCUGUAAAGUUUCAAUAUUCAUAAUCAUUUAAAUAGUUUGGGUUAUUAGGCAAUUGACGGUUGGUUUUUAGUGACCAUGAUAGCGCAUGCAAUGGGACUACAUUACCCAGUAGUUAGGGUUAUACGACCUAUGAACAUCUGAUUUUUGUGUCAACACAGUAUCAUUAGAAACCUAGUCCGAAUGUGUUUGAAUUCUUCAUUAACAGCCAACCAGUACAUAGCGUAGCUAGUAACUUAAGAAGUUUAGGUAUGGAUGUAUUUGAUAGAGUAAAUGGAGACAUGAAUGCCCUGCACAGAGUAUCUUCUGAAAUUGGUUUCUCUUCUGAAAUUGUUUUUUGUUUAUUCUAAUUAGUAAUGGAUAAUACAUGGAUGUCUUCCAAUCGAUUGUCGAGAGAGUACGAGAAUGGGGUAUCAGAAUUCGUUAAGUUUGCCGUUGCGCACGCCGAGAGACCCCAAUAGAAUGAUAUGUCCUUGCUUGGGUAUUGUUAUGGGAACGGGUUGACGCAGUUCAGUUGACAUCGCAUCUAAUGAGGCAUGGAAUUGAUCGAAGUUAUACAUGUUGGAAUUUGCAUGGUGAGAAAAGUACGAGAAUGUUGAACCGGGGAAUAGUACGACCUAUGCCUCAAACUAUAGUGGUGCAGAUACAACGAUUGUGAUCGAGUUGAAGAGAUUGCAGAAGCACUUGAAGGAGAUCUUAAGGAUUGUCCCGAAAUGUUUGAGAGGUUUGUAAGUGAUGCAGAGAAACCUUUGUAUGAUGGUUGCACUAAAUUCACAAGAUUGUCUGCAGUAUAAAGUUGUACAACUUAAAGGCGGGCAAUGGAUGGUCGAAUAAAAGUUUCACAGAGUUAUUAGGCCUUUUGAAAGAUAUGCUUCUGAGGAUAAUGUUCUUCCCAAUCAAACAUAUGAGACCAAAAAGAUGUUGUGCUCUAUUGGCAUGAGCUAUGAUAAGAUACAUGCAUGUCCAAACGAUUGCGUUUUGUUUCGAAAUGAGUAUGCAUCGUUAAAUGGGUGUCCUAAAUGCGGUGUCUCGCGAUAUAAAAACAAGUUGUCUCCAGCAAAAGUCUUGUGGUAUUUCCUGUUAUUCCGAGAUUUAGACGCAUGUUUCGUAGUGAAACCGAUUCAAGACACUUGACCUGGCAUGCAGAUGAAAGAAUUAUAGAUGGAAAGUAUCGACAUCCGGCAGAUUCACCACAGUGGUUGAAAAUUGAUAAUGAUUACCUGAAUUUGGAGAAGAUCAAGAAACCUUCGCUUGGCAUUAUCUACUGAUGGAAUGAACCCACACGGUAUCCAGAGUAUCUCACACAGUACAAUGGCCUGUGAUAUUAUGAUUUAUAACCUACCUCCAUGGCUAUGUAUGAAGCGUAAGUACAUGAGUUGUCUAUGUUGAUUUCUGGACCUAACAACCAGGGAAUGACAUAGACGUGUACUUGAAGCCCUUAAUCGAAGAUUUAAAGAUUUGUGGGAGACCGGUGUGGAGGUUUAUGAUGGAUAUAGGAAAGAAAGUUUCAACUUGAGGGCGAUGUUGUUUGGCACAAUUAAUGAUUUUCCCAGCAUACGGAAAUCUAUCAGGGUAUAGCAUAAAAGGUCAAUGUGCGUGUCCUAUUUGUGAAGAUAAAACAGAUUGGAAGCGCUUGGAGUUUGGUCAAGAAGAAUGUCUUUCUCGGUCAUCGGAGAUUCUUAAAUCAAAUCAUCACUACCGUGGAUGGAGAAAGGCGUUCAAUGGAGAGACAGAACAAGGCAGACGCUCCAACCUAUAUUGACGGGUGUCAAUUUUUGAAAAGGUGAAAGAUUUGGAUACUCAGUUUGGCAAGCCUUUUGCCCACACACUUGUCAAAGUGGGUGGAAGAAGAGGUCAGUUUUUUUUGAAUUGCCGUUUUGGAAGUCCUUGUAUGUGAGACAUUUUCUUGAUGUUAUUGCAUAUUGAAAAAAAAUGUAUUUGAAAGUGUUAUUGCACGUUACUCAAUAUACAAGGAAAGUCUAAGGAUGGCCUUAAGGCAAGAAAGGACUUGAUAGCGAUGGGAAUAAGAACUGAAUUAGGACCCUUGAAGAAAGGAAGACGAAACAUAUCUACCGCCUGCUGCUUAUACUCUAUCUAGAAAGGAGAAAAAACAUUGUGUAAGUUCUAGUGAAGUUAAAGUUCCAGAAGGGUACUUUCAGAUAUUAGAAGACUUGUGUCUAUGAAAGACCUCAAGUUAAAGAGUUUAAAGACCCAUGAUUGCCAUGUUAUAAUGGAACAUUUUCUCCCAAUAGGUAUACGUUCUAUUCUUCCAGAAAAAGUAAGAAGCUCUAUAACUAAGUUGUGUUCUUUCUUCAAGUCAAUUUGCAGUAAGGUGAUCAAUCCUGCGAUCUUACCAAUGUUGCAAAAAGAAAUCGUUAUUACUUUGUAUGAGCUUGAAAUGUUUUUUCCUCCAUCAUUUUUUGACAUAAUGGUACAUCUAGUUGUUCAUCUUGUGAAAGAGACACAAUUGUGUGGACCAGCUUAUAUGAGAUGGAUGUACCCUAUUGAACGUCAUAUGAAAAUAUUAAAAGGGUACGUGAAGAACGCGAAGUCGACCAGAAGGUUGUAUGGUUGAAAGAUACAUUGUUGAAGAAGCGCGAUUGAGUUUUGUACUGAAUAUUUGUCUAAUGUUCAGUCAUUCGACUCCCUAAGUCUCAACUUGUCGAAAAGAAAGAAGGAAAAAAUCUAAUUGGAAAUAAAAUCGUGCAGUAUCAGGGUCGAACGGGAUCAAUGCAUUUGUAUGUUCUGCACAAUGAGAAUGAGGUUGAGCCGUAUGUUGAAAUUCACAAGGAUGUUCUCUGAGGUUUAAAAUCCCAAUAGAAAUGAAAAUUGGAUAGUACGGAGAGCACAAUCGAUGUUUUUAUACCUUGGUUUAAGGAUCAUAUUUAUUCAAAGUAUUAUUCAGAUCCCGCUUCAAUAACAGAAAGUGUUGAGAUGCUUAGCAUAUGGUCCAAGUUUCCAUGUUUUUUCUAUAGCGCAUACGCGAUUAAUGGAUACACAUUUUAUACCAAAGAACAAGAUGAUAAAAGUACUAUGCAAAAUAGUGUGUCACCGUGGUAGCUGAAGCAAUGCACAUAUCAAGUGUGAAGGACUUAACCCCAAAUUUGCAAAUCUGUCGUAUUUUGGUGUUAUCGAGCGCAUUUGGGUGUUUGAUUAUGAGAAGUUUCAGAUCCUAUAUUUGGUUGCAAGUGGGUUGAAAACAAUAACGGCAUUCGAAUGGAUAAGUCAGGAUUUUGCAAGUGGAUAUUAAUGAGGUGGGAUACAAAGAUGAGUCUUUUAUUCUAGUCUCUCAAGCUAGACAAGUGUUCUUGUCAUGAUCCGAAAGUACGAAAUGGUCUAUAGUUCUUUUUCCAACAAAGUAAUUGAUGAAAACACUGGAGAUCAAGGUGAUAUUGAUGUUGAGAUUGAGUCGUUUACCAGAAAUGAUCAAGAUGAGAAUAUAUAUCAAAUGAUUCAUAUAUUAGAAAUGAUCAUAAUGAGGGUAUUUGGAUCAAUCCAACCGUCCGUGUUGUUAAGAGACAUGUAGAACAUAUUCCAACAAAGAAAAGAAAGAGAACUUAGUGAAAAGGUACAGGUCAAAUGAUUUUAAUUGUUUUCUUUAUUACAGGUAAAAUGACUUUUAUGAUUUUAAUUGUUUUUACAUUUUGUCAUCUGAUUUUAAUUGUUUUCUUUAUUACAGGUAAAAUGGCUAUUAUGAAGUCAAUCAUUCGUGCAAGGGGCAAGGAUACUUGAAAGUAUCAAUUGAUAUGUGUUUAGAUGGAGAUGUUCAUUGUCGUCAAGCCUCAUUCGCGUAGAUGAUGAAUGCUGGAUAUUUGAAGUAUCCCUCUACGACAAUGGAACAUGUCCAUCUAAACAAAUAUCAAUUCUAUCUUCAAAAGAUAGGACCAAAAAAUAUAUAAGGGGAUUACGCAGCAAUCGAGUCAGUUGCAUAAAAAAAAAGGUAUAAACACAAUUAUAAUAUUUUAUGCAUAGAAAAUGUUAAUUCUUGAUCUUAACAUCACCUAACUAAUUUUAUGAUUAUUUUAGGUUCAUGCUAUUGAUAUUGAACAAAAAAGAGGUUGUUGCUAAGAAGACUGCUGCUAGCAAAAAAAACAUACAUCUCAGAGAUGCUUUUGCUACUUAGUUUUAUUUCUUUUUAAAGUUAUGAAUUGGUUGUAUAUUUAGAAUCUUUGAAGUUAAAACGAUUAUGUAUCAGGGGAUGUUGUAUAUGUAUGGAUUGUUGUAUAUAAGGCUGUUGAAUGCAAUGUGUGAAAAAGGGCUUCAAAUAUACAGUUUUGGGUGUACUGCUUCAUAUAAUACAGGUUGGUCUAAAAUAAAUAAAAAAAUAUAGCGCUUUUUAAAAAAAAAAUUAAUUAAAUAACCACCCACUUUAGAGGGCGCUUCCCAAAAUAAAGCGCCCUCUAAACCCUUUAAAUUUCCACUUUAGAGGGCCGCUUUCAGUAAAAGCGCCCUCUAACCCAAAAAGUUUCCACUUUAAGAGGGCGGUUUCUAGUAAAAGGCGUCCUCUAAACCCUUAAAUGUUUCCACUUUAGAGGGCGGCUUCUUUAAAAAAGCUCCCUCUAAAGUGGCCCAUAAAGGGCUUAAAGAGCCACUUAAGACAGCGCUUUCACCAGGAAAAAAAGUGUUGUCUUUACUAUGCCAGCCGCAGAUUAGAGGGCGCUUUAAAGCGCUGUUAUAGGCCAAAAAAGCGCCCUCUUUUCCCUUAUUUGGCGUAGUGGUCUAAUUUUUAGGCCCCGCAUCCCUCAACUAUCACACCGCCCCGCCUCGUCCCGUUUUUUUGCGGGAUUUUACGGGACGGACAUAUAACGGGACGGAUAUGCCCGUUUGCCACAUUACGCACUACUGUAUCAAUAAAUAUAUAAUAUAGAUCAUUGUCUAAUUUCUCAUAGACUGUCAACGAAUAUAUACAACAAAUUACCCAAACUACCCAAACUACAUGCCUAAAGAUUAAGAGAUUAUUGAUGAGAAGUUACGUAUGAGCUAAUGUUAUUAAAAUAUAACAUUCUAGGAGCUACGUAUUUUGUCAGCUAAUGACAUAGUCAAUUACAUCAGUUAAUUGUUGUUAAUAAUUACAUACUAAAAACAACAGUUAAUUAUUAACACAUAAAAAUGGGACUGCAUGAUGCAAACACAACUGUCAUGGUAAGUUAAUCAUGCAAAAGGGGACAAACCAAUCACUGCUCAUGAUUUUUUAUGGAAAAUUGUCUUCUUUGUGAAAACACACUAUAAAAAAUGUGUUUUAUUACGAGGAUUUUCAAUCCCAAAAAAUUGUAUUACCGGAGUUUUGAAAACCGCCGUUAAUACCACCGUUCCCAAAUAUAUUCGCAAGAAUUUUAGGUAACCGCUGAUAUCCUAUUUAAACUGGAGAAAUUUAUAUUUUGAAGGUCGAAAACUCUUGUAAAUUAUUAUUAAUGUGAAAAAAAAUAACAACUCUUUAGAUUUCAUUGGAAAUAUAAUUAUGACAAAAUCAAAUGAUAUGUAUAUAAAAAUUACGCUGAUACAACUGAAAAUUCUUAAUGGCCAAAAUAAAAUAUAAUCCUAAAUAAAGAACAAUAAACAUUCCAAGAAUGAAACAAAUCAUACUCAACAUAACUUUACAACAUAUCAAGUAUUAAGUAUUAUGUAAUAUCUUAUUAUUUCAUGAAAGAAAACUCUAGUUCCAAGAAGUUACAAUGAUCGUUUUUUAUUACAUCAUAAAAGAAACGUCAUUAUAAAGAGUUUGCAAAGAAAAGCUACAUGAAUAAAUGAAUUUUUCCAUUUCUAAAAUAAUAAAAGUUAUUACUAUAAUAGGAAGCUCCAAUUAGAUUAUAAAAUAUAAGUAAACUUUCAUUGCUGGUGGCAACUCCUGGUUCUUGUUCCUUUACUCUGGAAGAAUGUUCUUUACAGAUGAAGUUUCUAAGAUCACUUGUAAUGCUUAACAUAUAUUAUCAAAGAAAAAUAAAUAAAUAAAUAUUUCAAUUGCCUUUGUUUCUCUUCUUGAAAUUGUUUUUUGUUUUUAUUCUAAUUAGUUAAUGGAAUAAUACAUGAGCCUCCAAUCGAUUUGUCGAGAGAGUACGAGGCAUGGGUAUCAAAUUCGUUAAAGUUUGCCGUUGCGCACGCCGAAGAACCCAAUAGAAUGAUAUGUCUUGCUUGCGGUUUAUUGUUAUGGGAAACGGGUUGACGCAGUUCAGUUGGACAUCGCAUUCUACAUGAGGCAUGGAUUUGAUCGAAGUUAUAACAUGUUGAAUUUGGCAUGGUGAGAAAAGUACGAUGAAAUCGUUGAACCGGGGGAUUAUACGAACCUAUGCCUCAAACUAUAGUGGUGCGAUAAUACGAUUGUUGAUCGAGUUGAAGAGAUUGCAGAAGCACUUGGAAGGAGAUCUUAAGGAUUGUCCCGACAUGUUUGAGAGGUUUGUAAGUGAUGCAGAGAAACCCUUGUUAUGAUGGUUCACUAAAUUGCAGCAAGAUUGUCUGGCAGUAUUAGUUGUACAACUUAAAGGCGGGCAAUGGAUGUCGAAUAAAAGUUUCACAGGAGUUACUUUUAGGCCUUUUGAAAGAAUAUGCUCCUGGGAUAAAUGUUCCUUUCCCAAUCAAACAUAUGAGACCAAAAAAGAUGUGUGCUCUAUUGGCAUGAGCUAUGAAUUAAGAUACAUGCAUGUCCAAACGGAUUGCGUUUUGUUUCGAAUGAGUAUGCAUCGUUAAAUGAGUGUCGCCUAAAUGCGGUGUCUCGCGAAUAUAAGAACAAGUUGGUCUCCAGCAAAAGUCUUUGUGGUAUUUCCUGUUAUUCCGAAUUUUAGACGCAUGUUUCGUAGUGAAACCCGAUUCAAGACACUUGACCUGGCAUGUGCAGAUGAAAAGAAUUAUAGAUGGAAAGUAUCAGACAUCUCGGCAGAUCUCACCACAGUGCGUUGAAAAUUGAUAUAUGGAUUAUCUGAAUUUGGAUGAAGAAUCAGAAAACCUUCGCUUGGCAUUAUCUACUGAUGGAAUGAACCCACACGGUAUCCCAGGAGUUAUCUCACACAGUACAUAUGGCCUGUGAUAUUUAUGAUUUAUAACCUACCCUCCAAUGGCUAUGUAAUGAAGCGUAAGUACAUGAUGUUGUCUUAUGUUGAUUUUUGACCUAAACAACCAGGAGAAUGACAUAGACUUGUCACUUGAAGCCUUAAUCGAAGAUUUAAAAGAUUUUGUGGGAGAACCGGUGUGGAGGUUUUAUGAUGGAUAUAGGAAAGAAAAGUUUCAACUUGAGGGCGAUGUUGUUUGGGCACUAUUAAUGAUUUUCCAGCAUACGGAAAUCUAUCAGGGUUAUAGCAUAAAAGGUCAAUGUGCGUGUCCUAUUUGUGAAGAUAAAACAGAUUGGAUAGCGCUUGGAGUUUGGUCAGAAGAAUGUCUUUCUCGGUCAUUCGAGAUUCUUAAAUUCAAAUCAUCAACUACCGUUGGAUGGAGAAAGGCGUUCAAUGGAGAGACAGAACAAGGCAGAGCCCUCCACCUUAUUAUGACGGGAUCAAAUUUUUGAAAAGGUGAAAAGAUUUUGGUACUCAGUUUGGCCAGCCUUUUUGCCCACAACACUUGUCAAAAUGGGUGGAAGAGAGGUCUAGUUUUUUUUUGAAUUGCCGUAUUGGAGUCCUUGUAUGUGAGACAUUUUCUUUGAUGUUAUGCAUAUGAAAAAAAAUGGUAUUUGAAAGUGUUAUUGCACGUUUAAACUCAAUAUACAAGGAAAGUCUCAAGGAAUGGCCUUAAGGCACCAGAAAAGGAAUUUGAAUGGCGAUGGGAAUAAGAACUGAAAUUAGACCCUUUGAGAAAGGAAGACGAAAAAUAUCUACCGCCUGCUGCUUAUACUUCUAUUACUAGAAAGGAGAAAAACAUAUGUGUAAGUUUCUAAGUGAAGUUAAAAGUUCCAGGAAGGGUACUCUUCAGAUAUUAGAAGACUUGUGUUCUAUGAAAGAACGCGUCAAGUUAAAGAGUUUAAAGACCGCGGCAUGAUUGCCAUGUAAAAUAAUGGAACAUUUUCCUCCAACUAGGUAUUCGUUCUAUUCUUCCAGAAAAAGUAGAAGCUCUAUAAACUAAGUUGUGUUCUUUCUUCAAGUCAAUUUGCAGUAAGCGUGAUCAAUCCUGCCGAUCUUACCAAAUGUUGCAAAAAGAAAUCGUUAUUACUUUGUAUGAGGCUUGAAAUGUUUUUUCCUCCAUCAUUUUUUUUGACAUAAUGGUCACAUACUAGUUGUUCAUCUUGUGAAAGAGACACAUUGUGUGGACCAGCUUAUAUGAGAUGGAUGUACGCCCUAUUGAACGUCAUAUGAAAAUAUUAAAAAGGGUACGUGAAGAAACGCGAAGUCGACCAGAAGGUUGUAUGGUUGAAAGAUACAUUGUUUGAAGAAGCGAUUGUUAGCUUUGUAGCUUGAAUAUUUGUCUAAUGUUCAGUCAUCUCGACUCGCCUAAGUCCUCAAACUUGUCGAAAAGGAAAGAAGGAAAAAAUCUAAUUGGAAAUAAAAUCGUGGCCGUAUCAAAGGGUGCGAAACGGGAGAUCACAGUGCAUUUGUAUGUUCUGCACAAGGAGAAUGAGGUCUGAGCCGUAGUGUUGAAAUUCACAAGGAUGUUGCUCUGAGGUUUUAAAUCCCAAUAGACAUGAAAAUUGAUAGUACGGAGAGCACAAUCCGAUGUUUUACUACCUGGUUUAAGGUUAUCAUAUUUAUUCAAAAGUAUUAUUCAGAUCCCGCUUCAAUACAGAAACGUUUGAGAUGCUAGCAUAUGGGUCCAAGUUUCCAGUGUUUUUUCUUACUAGCGCAUACGCGAUUAAUGGAUUACACAUUUUUUUAUACCAAAGAAACAAGAUAUGAUAAAAGUACUUGCAAAACAGUGGUGUCACCGUGGUAUUCUGAAGCAAUAGCACAUAUCAAGUUGAUGAAAGGAACUUAAACCCCAAAUUUGCAAAUCUGUCAGUAUUUUUGGUGUUAUCCGAGCGCAUUUGGGUGUUGAUUAUGAGAAGUUUUCAGAUCCUUUAUAUUUGGUUGCAAGUGGGUUGAAAACAAUAACGGAUUAUCGAAUGGAUAAGUCAGGAUUUUUUGCAAAGUGGAUAUUUAAUAGGGUGGGAUACACAAAGAUGAGGUCUUUUAUUCUAGUCUCUUCAAGCUUAGACAAGUGUUCUAUGUCAAUGAUCCGAAAAGUACGAAAUGGUCUAUAGUUACUUUUUUCCAAACAAAGUAAUUGAUGAAAACACUGGAGAUCAAGGUGAUAUUGAUGUUGGAUUGAGUCGUUUUACCAGAAAAUGAUCAAGAUCGAGAAUAUUAUAUCAAAUGAUUCAUAUUAGAAUGAUCUAAUGAGGGUAUUGGAUCAAUUCCAACCGUCCGUGUUGUUAAGAGACAUGUAGGAACAUAUUCCAAACCAGAAAAGGAAAGAGAACUUAGUCGAAAAGGUACAGCGUCAAAUGAUUUUAAUUGUUUCUUUAUUACAGUAAAAAUGACUUUUAUGAUUUAAUUGUUUUUACAUUUUCAUGCUGAUUUUAAUUGUUUUCUUUAUUACAGGUAAAAUGGCUAUUAUGAAGUCAAUCAUUCGUGCAAGGGCAAGGAUACUUGAAAGUAUCAAUGAUAUUUGUUUAGAUGGAGAUGUUUCCAUUGUCGUCAAGCCUCAUUCGCGUAGAUGAUGAUGCUGGAUAUUUGAAGUAUCCCUCUACGACAAUGGAACAUGUCCAUCUAAACAAUAUUCAAUUCUAUCUUCAAAGAUAAGGACCAAAAAUAUAAGGGGAUUACGCAGCAAUCGAGUCAGUUGCAUAAAAAAAAAGGUAUAAACACAAUUAUAUGAUAUUUAUGCAUAGAAAUGUUAAUUCUUGAUCUUAUACAUCACCUACUAAUUUUAUGAUAUUUUAGGUUCAUGCUAUUGAUAUUGAACAAAAGAGGUUGUUGCUAAGAAGACUGCUGCUAGCAAAAAAAACAUACAUCUCAGAGAUGCUUUUUGCUACUUAGUUUUAUUUCUUUUUAAGUUAUGAAUUGGUUGUAUAUUUAGAAUCUUUAGAAGUUAAACGAUUAUGUAUCAUGGAUGUUGUAUAUGUAUGGAUUGUUGAUAUUAAGGCUUGUUGAAUGCAAUGUGUGAAAAAGGGCUUCAAAUUAUACAGUUUUGGUGUACUGCUUCAAUAUACAGGUUGUCUAAAAUAAAUAAAAAAAUAUAGCGCUUUUUAAAAAAAAAAAUUAAAUAACCACCCACUUUAGAGGGCGCUUCCCAAAUAAAGCGCCCUCUAACCCUUUAAAUUUCCACUUAGAGGGCGCUUCAGUAAAGCGGCCCUCUAAACCCUAAAAAGUUUCCACUUUAGAGGGCGGUUUCUAGUAAAAGCGCCUCUAAAACCUUAAAUGUUUCCACUUUUAGAGGGCGCUUUCUUUAAAAAGCUCCCUCUAAAGUGGCCCAUAAAGGGCUUAAAGAGCCACUUUAGACAGCGCUUUCACCAGGAAAAAAAGUGUUGUCUUUACUAUGCCAGCGCCAGAUUAGAGGGCGCUUUAAAGCGCUGUUAUAGGCCAAAAAAGCGCCCUCUUUUCCUUAUUUGGCGUAGUGGUCUAAUUUUUAGGCCCGCCGAUCCUCCACUAUCACCGCCCCGCCUCGUCCCGUUUUUUUGCGGGAUUUUACGGACGGACAUAAACGGGACGAUAUGCCCGUUUGCCACAUUACGCACUACUGAUACAAUAAUAUAUAAUAUAAGAUCAUUGUCUAAUUUCUCAUAACUGUCAAACGAAUAUAUACAACAAAUUACCCAAACUACCCAAACUACAUGCCUAAAGAUUAAGAUAUAUUGAUGAGGAAGUUACGUAUGAGAUAUGUUAUUAAAAUAUAACAUUCUAGGAGCUACGUAUUUUGUCAGCUAAUGACAUAGUCAAUUACAUCAGUUAAUUGUUGUUAAUAAUUACAUACUAAAAACAACAGUUAAUUAUUAACACAUAAAAAGGACUGCAUGAUGCAAACACAACUGUCAUGGUAAGUUAAUCAUGCAAAAGGGGACAAACCAAUCACUCUCAUGAUUUUUAUGGAAAUUGUCUUCUUUGUGAAAACACACUAUAAAAAAUGUGUUUUAUUACGAGGAUUUCAAUCCCAAAAAAUUGUAUUACCGGAGUUUUUGAAAACCGCCGUUAUACCCACCGUUCCCAAAUAUAUUCGCAAGAAUUUUAGGUAAACCGCUUGAUAUCCUAUUUAAACUGGAGAAAUUUAUAUUUUGAAGGUCGAAAACUCUUGUAAAUUAUUAUUAAUGUGAAAAAAAAUAACAACUCUUUAGAUUUCAUUUGGAAAUAUAAUUAUGACAAAAUCAAAUGAUAUGUAUAUAAAAAUUACGCUGAUACAACUGAAAAUUCUUAAUGGCCAAAAUAAAAUAUAAUCCUAAAUAAAGAACAAUUAAACAUUCCAAGAUGAAACAAAUCAUACUCAACAUAACUUUACAACAUAUCAAGUAUUAAGUAUAUGUAAUAUCUUAUUAUUUCAUAAAGAAAACUCUAGUUCCAAGAAGUUUACAAUGAUCGUUUUUUUAUACAUCAUAAAAAACGUCAUUAUAAAGAGUUUGCAAAGAAAACGCAACCAUUGGAAAAUAAGAAUUUAAAAUUUUCCAUUUCUAAAAUAAUAAAAGUUAUACUAUAAUAGGAAGCUCCAAUUAGAUUAUUAAAUAUAAGUAAACUUCAUUGCUGGUGGCAACUCCUGGUUCUUGUUCCUUUACUCUGGAAGAAUGUUUCUUUACAGAUGAAGUUUCUAAGUAUCACUUGUAAUGCUUAACAUAUAUUAUCAAAGAAAAAUAAAUAAAUAAAUAUUUCAAUUGCCUUAUUUUAUUUUAUUACCAAUAUUUUAAAGUAAAAGUCUUACAUGUAUGGUCUUCUGAAAUUUUGUAAAAAAAAUAAAGUAUACUUAUUAUGGUUAGUUACAACAAUUCUUGGCAACUAGGAAUAUUUUAUUAUAAAGUUGUGUAAGAACUCAUUUUUUNNNNNNNNNNNNNNNNNNNNNNNCUAUAAUUUUAUCCUUUUUACCAAUAUCUUUAAAGUACAGAGAAUCUUACUAUGUAUGUCUCGCAUACCAAUUAUUCGUAACAAAAAUAGAAAGGUAGGUGGUUACUAAUUUAUGGUUAGAUUACAACAAUAUUCACUUGGCCACUAGCGCAAUAUUCAUUUAUAAUAGUUGGGUGCUAAGAAACUCAGUUUGGUUGGGCACUUAUAUUGACGCCCAACUUACUUCUUUACCAUAGAAAUUCGACAUAGGAUUGUCAGAGCUGCACGUGUCGCAGAGGGGUGUUGUAAUACGAUUUAAUUAAUAUAGGAAUAUCGUCUAUCUUGUAUCAUACAAUUAUCAAAUCUAUUUUCGAACCAUUCAACUAUUUACUGUAAUAAAAUUGAACCAAGAUAACAGAAUAAUAUUAAUAACUUUAACCAAUAAAAAAAUUGAGGUUUCUAUGUAAAAAAAUAUAAAGCUCAUAAAUUUAAAAGGUUACGAAAAUGAUCCAUAGCUGCAAAUGUUGUCUUAUUCAAUUACACCAAAAUCACAGAGCUCAGAUGAAAAUCAUAAACAACCAUGGAACAAUAUUUCGAGAGAGUAUUAGAUUCUCUCUCUCUCUUUCUUUUUCAUGUAUUGACCCCAACUUCUUUCUUUCCUAGAAAUCGACAUAGAUUGUCAAUGCACUUCACGAUGUGAGAUUUAUUAAUAUUAGGAAACGUUUCUUGACAAAAUUCAUCUGUUUCGCAUUCAACUUUUACUGUAAUAAAAUAACAAAAUAAAGAAUAAUAUUAAUAGAAAAAAUAAAAAAUUGAGUUCAAAGUAAAAAAAAUAAAGCUCAAAAUUUAAAAAGGUUAGAAAAAUAUCUUACUGCAAAUGUUUCUUUCAAUAAAAAAUACAGAAAUCAAUAAAAUCAUAAAAUGAACAAUAUUGAGAAAUUUAGUCAUAUUUUCUCUUUUUGCAUGUUAUAGUUAUAAUAUGAUAUGAUCAAUUUAUAGUGUAUAAUCUUAUCCUAAGUUAAAAUAAAUUAAUUAUCUUUAGCCCUU